rnacentral:rRNA from 1 species
UGAGCAAUCUGCCCUUCUCAUCGGAAUAAGCGUUGGAAACGACGUCUAAUGCCGAAUACGACCUCCUUUCGCAUGAUCGGAGGUGGAAAGCUCCGGCGGAGAAGGAUGAGCUCGCGGCCUAUCAGCUAGUUGGUGUGGGUAAUGGCCCACCAAGGCGACGACGGGUAGCCGGCCUGAGAGGGUGACCGGCCACACUGGGACUGAGACACGGCCCAGACUCCUACGGGAGNAG